GUGCCAGCAGCCGCGGUAAUACGGAGGGUGCAAGCGUUAUCCGGAUUCACUGGGUUUAAAGGGUGCGUAGGCGGAAUUGUAAGUCCGUGGUGAAAUCUCCAAGCUUAACUUGGAAACUGCCGUGGAUACUAUAGUUCUUGAAUGUUGUGGAGGUUUGCGGAAUAUGUCAUGUAGCGGUGAAAUGCUUAGAUAUGACAUAGAACACCGAUUGCGAAGGCAGCAGGCUACACAAAUAUUGACGCUGAGGCACGAAAGCGUGGGGAUCAAACAGGAUUAGAUACCCUGGUAGUCC
rnacentral:rRNA from 1 species